UACGUAGGGUGCAAGCGUUGUCCGGAAUUAUUGGGCGUAAAGAGCUCGUAGGCGGUCUGUCGCGCGGCUGUGAAAACGCGAGGCUCAACCUCGCGCCUGCAGUGGGUACGGGGCAGACUAGAGUGUGGUAGGGGAGAUUGGAAUUCCUGGUGUAGCGGUGGAAUGCGCAGAUAUAGGAGGAACACCGAUGGCGAAGGCAGAUCUCUGGGCCACUACUGACGCUGAGAAGCGAAAGCAUGGGGGAGCGAACAGG
rnacentral:rRNA from 1 species